CGCACGAGAAGGCGGGGCAACCCGCUGGAACAGUGGCGAACGGGUGAGUAAUGCGUGGGUAACCUACCCUCGAGGGGGGAAUAACCCGCCGAAAGGCGGGCUAAUGCCGCGUACGCGCUCCGGAGGAGGCUUCGGAGCGGAAAGCUGCCGCUCGGCGGUGGCACUCGAGGAGGGGCUCACGUCCUAUCAGCUUGUUGGUAGGGUAACGGCCUACCAAGGCUCCGACGGGUAGCUGGUCUGAGAGGACGAUCAGCCACACUGGCACUGCGACACGGGCCAGACUCCUACGGGAGGCAGCAGUGAGGAAUAUUGCGCAAUGGGCGCAAGCCUGACGCAGCGACGCCGCGUGGGGGAUGAAGGGCUUCGGCUUGUAAACCCCUUUCGGGGGGGAAGACGGUGCCAUACCAAUGGCACGGACGGUACCCCCAGAAGCAGCCACGGCUAACUUCGUGCCAGCAGCCGCGGUAAUACGAAGGUGGCAAGCGUUGUUCGGAUUUACUGGGCGUAAAGGGAGCGUAGGUGGUGGGGUAAGCCCCGCGGGAAAGCUCCAGGCUUAACCUGGAAAGGUCGCGGGGGACUGCUUCGCUGGAGGACGGGAGAGGAGCGCGGAAUUCCCGGUGUAGCGGUGAAAUGCGUAGAGAUCGGGAGGAAGGCCGGUGGCGAAGGCGGCGCUCUGGAACGGCCCUGACACUAAGGCUCGAAAGCGUGGGGAGCAAACAGGAUUAGAUACCCUGGUAGUCCACGCCCUAAAAGAUGGACACUACGUGCCGGCGGGUCUCCGUCGGUGCCGCAGCUAACGCAGUAAGUGUCCCGCCUGGGGAGUACGGCCGCAAGGUUGAAACUCAAAGGAAUUGACGGGGGCCCGCACAAGCGGUGGAGCAUGUG
rnacentral:rRNA from 1 species